GCACAAGCGGUGGAGCAUGUGGUUUAAUUCGAUGCAACGCGAAGAACCUUACCUACUCUUGACAUCCAGAGAACUUUCCAGAGAUGGAUUGGUGCCUUCGGGAACUCUGAGACAGGUGCUGCAUGGCUGUCGUCAGCUCGUGUUGUGAAAUGUUGGGUUAAGUCCCGCAACGAGCGCAACCCUUAUCCUUUGUUGCCAGCGGUUAGGCCGGGAACUCAAAGGAGACUGCCAGUGAUAAACUGGAGGAAGGUGGGGAUGACGUCAAGUCAUCAUGGCCCUUACGAGUAGGGCUACACACGUGCUACAAUGGCGCAUACAAAGAGAAGCGACCUCGCGAGAGCAAGCGGACCUCAUAAAGUGCGUCGUAGUCCGGAUUGGAGUCUGCAACUCGACUCCAUGAAGUCGGAAUCGCUAGUAAUCGUAGAUCAGAAUGCUACGGUGAA
rnacentral:rRNA from 1 species